GGACGGGUGAGUAAUGCCUAGGAAAUCUGCCUGGUAGUGGGGGAUAACGUUCGGAAACGGACGCUAAUACCGCAUACGUCCUACGGGAGAAAGCAGGGGACCUUCGGGCCUUGCGCUAUCAGAUGAGCCUAGGUCGGAUUAGCUAGUUGGUGGGGUAAUGGCUCACCAAGGCGACGAUCCGUAACUGGUCUGAGAGGAUGAUCAGUCACACUGGAACUGAGACACGGUCCAGACUCCUACGGGAGGCAGCAGUGGGGAAUAUUGGACAAUGGGCGAAAGCCUGAUCCAGCCAUGCCGCGUGUGUGAAGAAGGUCUUCGGAUUGUAAAGCACUUUAAGUUGGGAGGAAGGGCAGUAAAUUAAUACUUUGCUGUUUUGACGUUACCGACAGAAUAAGCACCGGCUAACUCUGUG
rnacentral:rRNA from 1 species